rnacentral:rRNA from 1 species
GACGAACGCUGGCGGCGUGCUUAACACAUGCAAGUCGAACGGAAAGGCCCUGCUUUUGUGGGGUGCUCGAGUGGCGAACGGGUGAGUAACACGUGAGUAACCUGCCCUUGACUUUGGGAUAACUUCAGGAAACUGGGGCUAAUACCGGAUAGGAGCUCCUGCUGCAUGGUGGGGGUUGGAAAGUUUCGGCGGUUGGGGAUGGACUCGCGGCUUAUCAGCUUGUUGGUGGGGUAGUGGCUUACCAAGGCUUUGACGGGUAGCCGGCCUGAGAGGGUGACCGGCCACAUUGGGCCUGAGAUACGGCCCAGACUCCUACGGGAGGCAGCAGUGGGGAAUAUUGCACAAUGGGCGGAAGCCUGAUGCAGCAACGCCGCGUGCGGGAUGACGGCCUUCGGGUUGUAAACCGCUUUCGCCUGUGACGAAGCGUGAGUGACGGUAAUGGGUAAAGAAGCCCCGGCUAACUACGUG